rnacentral:rRNA from 1 species
CCAAGGAGUCUAACAUGUGCGCGAGUCAUUGGGUCUUGUUUAGGCCCAAAGGCGAAAUGAAAGUGAAGGCCGAUUCGGUCGGCUGCGUUGGGAUCCCGUCCACUCGUGGGCGGGCGCACCAACGGCCCGUCCCGAUCGCCGCGUCGAUGGGGCGGAGUGAGAGCGUCCACGUUGGGACCCGAA